rnacentral:rRNA from 1 species
UACGAAGGGGGCUAGCGUUGUUCGGAAUUACUGGGCGUAAAGCGCGCGUAGGCGGUUUUGCAAGCCAGAGGUGAAAUGCCUGAGCUCAACUUAGGAAUUGCCUUUGGGACUGCGAGGCUUUGAGGACUGGAGAGGUGAGUGGAAUUCCCAGUGUAGAGGUGAAAUUCGUAGAUAUUGGGAAGAACACCGGUGGCGAAGGCGGCUCACUGGCCAGUUUCUGACGCUGAAGCGCGAAAGCGUGGGGAUCAAACAGG